rnacentral:lncRNA from 1 species
UUGAAAAGAGUUUCAAUAAUACUAUGAUAAAGAUCAUAGUAUAUUUUACUAUCAAAUAAAAUUGAACUUAUGGGAUCACACAAUAAAGAGAUUAGAUCUGUAAUAAGCAAUUAGGCUUAUGAAGUCUUAAUUGAGUUUGGAGAAAUCCCAUUAGGUUUAGGAUAACUUUAAUAGCACAUGGUUGGAUUCAAUUUUCUCUUUACAUUUGAAUUAUUUAUUUAAUAAGA